rnacentral:rRNA from 1 species
CCUACGGGUGGCAGCAGUGGGGGAUAUUGCACAAUGGGGGGAACCCUGAUGCAGCGAAGCCGCGUGAGUGAAGAAGGGCCUCGGCGCGUAAAGCCCUGUCUGCAGGGAAGAAAAUGACGGUAUCUGAAGAAGAAGCCACGGAUAACUCCGUGCCAGCAGCCGCGGUAAUCCGUAGGGGGCAAGCGUUAUCCGGAUUUACUGGGUGUAAAGGGGGCGCAGACGGGGGUGCAAGCCAGGAGUGAAAGCCCGGGGCCCAACCCCGGGACUGCUCUGGGAACUGCGUGGCUGGAGUGCAGGAGGGGCAGGCGGAAUUCCGGGUGUAGCGGUGAAAUGCGUAGAUAGCAGGAGGAACACCAGUGGCGAAGGCGGCCUGCUGGACUGCAACUGACGUUGAGGCCCGAAAGCGUGGGGAGCAAACAGGAUUAGAUACCCUUGUAGUC